GGACAAUGCUUGGGUGGAAUAUCAAUUGAUACGCUGUGUCAUCUUCUCUAUCACAAUUCACAAUCCCCUGCAGAUAUUUCCUAUUUCAGUUCCCGCGCCCCGUCCCCCACACGCAGUCACACAGAAUGGCAGCGGCAGUGAAUUGCUACCUCUCAGUGACUUCAACAGCCACACCCACAUCUCAAGAUUCUCCACAGCCAGCAAUCACGAGGCCGCCGACCAAGAUCAUACUGCCCAAGAAAAAGCCUAUGAAAUGGUCUACAGGGGUGGCUCCGGGUGAGUAUGGGGGCCCACCCACCACAACGAAGCUCAGGAAAUACUGGGGUGGAGAUGAGGACCCUCUUGCCUCUGAUGAAUACUUGUGGAACAAAGACUUCAUGGGUCGAAUGAAAAAGUUCAUUCAAGACCCCGUCGAUGUCGACACUAAUUCUGACCCUCGAUUCUCAUCUGCGAAGGUCCAGUAUUUGGCCAAUUGAUUAUUUUUGGUUUGUCAUUAUCUGGGUUUUUUUGAGUGAUUUAUAUUGUGGGUUUUAUUUUUGCUGUUGCUUUUGUAUGAGAAAUUAGUAAAAAUGGGGAAUUUUUAGCGCUCAUUGAGAUUAAUUGUUUUGGAAUUUGGAACUUGGAUAAUACUGCUUGUUGAACAUUGUAUAGGGAUGUCUAGUGUCAUUUUUUUCCCCUUCUUUUCAGAGAGAAUUUCUAGAAUGUUCUGCUUGUCUAAUUAAUUGACUGUUCUACGAAGUACUGCUGAUCUAAUUUUUUGGUUUCAUUCCGAAACUGUUUGUUCUGAUUUUACCACAGAUUGAAUUUUUAUUGCUUUUAGUUGAUAAAUAUAUUGUCCAGGUAUCAGCACUGAAUUUGGUAAAUUAUACUGUUUUGGUAUGUUUCUGAACAGGAAGAGCCUUGUGGAUUUCUUAGCUUGAACAGAGUGAUGAGCUUGGACAGGUACACAACCUUUUAUUUUUGGAAAUUGUUAUUUUAUUUUGUCUUGAAUUCCUAUACUGCUUUCCCGUGUAAUAGUCCCACUCUUUGAGGAUGCAGUUUGGA
rnacentral:lncRNA from 1 species